rnacentral:rRNA from 1 species
GACUACUGGGGUAUCUAAGCCUGUUUGAUACCCACACCUUCGCAGUUUAGCGUCAAUGACGGCUUAGAAGACUGCCUUCGCUUUCGGUAUUCCUCCUGAUCUCUGCGCAUUCCACCGCUACACCAGGAAUUCUGUCUUCCCCAACCGCAUUCCAGAUCCACAGUAUCUCCUGCCUUACAACGGGUAAGCCGUUGCCUUUAACAAAAAACUUAUGGAUCCGCCUACCUGCCCUUUACGCCUAGUAAUUCCGGACAACGCUUGCAACCCCCGUGUUACCGCGGCUGCUGGCACGGAGUUAGCCGUUGCUUAUUCAUAUGCUAAUAUCUCUGAUCCCAUGCUAUUCACAUAGAACCCACUGCUCACAUAUAAAAGAACUUUACACCCCGAAGGGCUUCUUCGUUCACGCGGCGUCGCACUAUCAGUCUUUCGACCAUUGUAGACUAUUCUCGACUGCAGCCCCCCGUAGG